rnacentral:rRNA from 1 species
UACAGGGGUCUCAAGCGUUGUUCGGAUUCAUUGGGCGUAAAGCGCGUGUAGGCGGCCCGGUAAGUCCGCUGUGAAAGUCGGGGGCUCAACCCUCGAAUGCCGGUGGAUACUGUCGGGCUCGAGUACGGAAGAGGCGAGUGGAAUUCCUGGUGUAGCGGUGAAAUGCGCAGAUAUCAGGAGGAACACCGAUUGCGAAGGCAGCUCGCUGGGACGUUACUGACGCUGAGACGCGAAAGCGUGGGGAGCAAACAGG